rnacentral:rRNA from 1 species
UACGAAGGGUGCUAGCGUUGUUCGGAAUCAUUGGGCGUAAAGCGUACGUAGGCGGUUUAGUAAGUCGAUUGUGAAAGCCCUAAGCUCAACUUAGGAAUUGCAACCGAAACUGCUUUACUUGAGUUUGGUGGGGGAUGGUGGAAUUUCUAGUGUAGGGGUGAAAUCCGUAGAUAUUAGAAGGAAUACCGGUGGCGAAAGCGACCAUCUACGCCAAUACUGACGCUGAGGUACGAAAGCGUGGGGAGCAAACAGG